CGGUGUGUGGCGCAGGUGGUAGCGCGCCGCGUUCGGGACGCGGAGGCCGCAGGUUCGAGUCCUGCCACACCGACCA
rnacentral:tRNA from 1 species